UCGAACGGUAACGGGUCCUUCGGGAUGCCGACGAGUGGCGAACGGGUGAGUAAUAUAUCGGAACGUACCCUAGAGUGGGGGAUAACGUAGCGAAAGUUACGCUAAUACCGCAUACGAUCUAAGGAUGAAAGUGGGGGAUCGCAAGACCUCAUGCUCGUGGAGCGGCCGAUAUCUGAUUAGCUAGUUGGUAGGGUAAAAGCUUACCAAGCCGACGAUCUGUAGCUGGUCUGAGAGGACGACCAGCCACACUGGGACUGAGACACGGCCCAGACUCCUACGGGAGGCAGCAGUGGGGAAUUUUGGACAAUGGGCGAAAGCCUGAUCCAGCAAUGCCGCGUGCAGGAUGAAGGCCUUCGGGUUGUAAACUGCUUUUGUACGGAACGAAAAAGCUUCUCCUAAUACGAGAGGCCCAUGACGGUACCGUAAGAAUAAGCACCGGCUAACUACGUGCCAGCAGCCGCGGUAAU
rnacentral:rRNA from 1 species